rnacentral:lncRNA from 10 species
GAACCUGUGAGUGUGACUUUAUUUGGAAAAAAGGGUCUUUGUAGAUGUCAUUAAGUUAAAGAUCUCUGGAUGAGAUUGGUCUGGGUUAUCUGGGUGGGCCCUAAAUCCAAUGGCAGGUGUCCUUAUAAGAGACAGAAGAGGAGAAGACAGACACAGAGGAGAAGACCAUGUGAAGAUGGAGGCAGAGAUUGGAGUGAUGUGGCCGCAAGCCAAGGAAUGCCUGAAGCUACCAGAAGCUGGGAGAGGCAAGAAAGGAUUCUCUCCUAAAGCCUUCAGAGGGAUCAUGGCCCUGUGACACCUAGAUUUCAGACUUCUGGCCUCCAGAACAGUGAGAGAAUAAAUUUCUCUUGUUAUCAUGCUUUUGUUGUUGAAGCCAAGAACUCAUUGCCUAAUUUAAGGUAGCAAGUCAUCAGGAAUGCUUAGCACGUAUGGACCAUUUCACAGAGAGUGUCUGAAACAAGAUAUUUCUUUCUAGCCUCACCUCUGGAUUGGACCGAGCAUGGAUACACUGGGCCAUUACCAUGAUUUAUCAGGAGCUGAUUACCUAGCCAAUCAUUCCCAUCAUUCCCUUACUGAAAUAAACUGAGAAAAAUCAAACUAACCUUCUAUUCACUGGAAGAUAUUCCAAAUGGUGGUUUGCUUCAUGCUUGCACAGAGACUCUGGCUGGGCAGCCCAGAUGAUCACUUUGUGUGAUGUGAUGCCCACAGCUGCCUAGCUGUCUCCAAGGGCCCAAUCAUUUAUCGCUUCUCUUUGGCUGUGUGUGUGUGCAAGCAGGCAGCUGGGGGUGUGUGUGACCCCAGGGCUUCUACAAUAAAUCAGAAUCCCUAAUGCCAGAU